rnacentral:rRNA from 1 species
GACGAACGCUGGCGGCGUGGAUUAGGCAUGCAAGUCGAACGGUAGGAUACCUUCGGGUAUCUGAGAGUGGCGAACGGGUGAGUAACACGUAGGUGAUCUACCCUCAAGAUUGGGACAACCCAGGGAAACUUGGGCUAAUACCGGAUGAAAGCAGCAGUGAUGUUGUUUGAAAGGUGGCGUAAGCUGCCGUUUGGGGAUGAGCCUGCGCUCUAUUAGUUAGUUGGCGGGGUAAAGGCCCACCAAGGCGAUGAUAGAUAGGCGGCCUUAACGGGGUGGUCGCCCACACUGGGAUUUGAGAUACGGGCCCAGACUCCUACGGGAGGCAGCAGUCGAGAGUAGCCUAAAUGGCCGAAAGGCUGAUAGUGCGACGCCGCGUGAACGAGAAGCCCUUCGGGUGUAAAGUUCUUUUAAUGUGAGCAGUGCUUUCUAUGUGAACAGCAUGGGGAAGAGAUAUUAGCAUAUGAAUAAGCAACGGCUAACUCCGUGCCAGCC